UCCAGUGGUUCGACACUCGUCCUUCGUCCCCUAAACCCAGACACACCUCGACACCACGAACGGGUCUGGGCUGUCAAAACACGCGACGGCGUGUUGAGUUCCAAUAACUUGCACAAUGAUUAAUGAGCGGCUUGAUAAUUUAAUACCGCGUAUGAUUAAAUUAUAAGGCGUGGGGGAGGGGAGCCUGGGCGGACGCCGCGGAGCGAGCGGUUCGCCGCUACGCGCAAAGCCGCGCUCACCCUCUGCGCAGCGCUCUGCAAAGCUCGGAGAGCUGUGGGUCCGCGCCUUCCAAGAAGGAACCAGGGCAUCAAGAAUAUGCUGGAGGAUUGGAGGCCACUGAGGUUGAGGGAAGGAGAACUGGGAAGGAAGGUCCCUGCGAACACGUCUCCCUCAUGUCAGCCAGGCCAGUUGUCCAGGAGACAUUCUGAAUAAUGCCUCAUCCUGGAAGUGGCUUGUGUUCUCAUGGACAGCGGAGAAAAAUGGAAACAUGAGCCAAAGGAAGAUUCCAGAACCUAGGAACAUGUUUGUGCGGGUCUGCAGACAGCAGACAGACAUCCCUCCAUUCUCUGAGAGCCACUCUUCUGUGUUAUGACUGGACCCGUAGUCACUAGGUUUCCAAAGGCAGAGUAAGUCUGUGGGAAAACUGACCCCUGGUGUCCACAGGGAGUGGAGUAGGUAUUAUUUGUUGUAUUUUAGUAGGACCUUUAGUGGAAUCACUAAAGGAAGAUCAGCUGACAACUAGGAUGAGUAUAAGAGCUGAAAAGUGACUUUCACGGCUGUCCCUGGUAACUAGAAUACGUCUAUAGCUUCCUGAAUAGACAAUUCCACCCUACUUUUUUUCUUUCUUCUUUGGCCGCAUCUAUGGCAUAUGGAAGUUCCAGGGCCAGGGCUUGAACCUGAGCCACAGCUUUGACU
rnacentral:lncRNA from 1 species